GACAGUGGGGCCAAGCGUUAGGCGGAAUCACUGGGCUUAAAGCGCGUGUAGGUGGCGGCCUAAGUACGUUGUGAAAUCCUGCGGCUCAACCGCAGAACUGCUUGGUAUACUGGGUCGCUUGAGCCAUCCAGGGGCAACUGGAACAAGCGGUGGAGCGGUGAAAUGCGUAGAUAUCGCUUGGAACGCCAAAGGUGAAAACAGGUUGCUGGGGAUGCGCUGACACUGAGACGCGAAAGCCAGGGGAGCGAACGGG
rnacentral:rRNA from 1 species